AACCAGAAAUUCUAAGUAAGGAAUUCUGUUGACCCGAGGAAAGGUGUUAGGCACUCCCGAAUCCCGUAAUACUAGCACAGUCGCUUAAAUUGUUGUAAUGGCUAAAUAUAUGAGUUUAAAACAUGUUACAACUUAUGUGCUCUUAUUAAGUUUAAACCGCUUUUAUUACUAUUUUUUAAUAGAAUUGCAACGUCAUGAGAAUGCAUCUCAAACUGCGUCACAUGAAUGUAUCCACAAUUUUUGAUGUGUUCCAACUUCGUUGAAAUUUAGAUUUGGGUCACAUCAAUAUUCGAGUUUAGGAAGGUAAAAUAAUUAAAAUGCGUCCUAAAGAGACUAGCGUGUUUAUUUUUUUGGGAAGAAGCCGUGAAAUUCAUUAAGCGGCCAGUUCUGAAGCCUAAUCGCUUAUCACGUCCUUUUAAUUGAAGGCCCCGCAAUUUGUAAUUCAUUUUGGGCGAGGCACGCCUCAUUUCAUUUUAAAGGAUAUCCUAAAGCGACUACGUUUUCUAUUUCAUUACGUCUCUAAAAAUGAAAAGCAGAAACAAAAUCCUAUAUUAUUUACAUACUAGAGUUAUUAUAGUUAAGAUGUGAACAUAAGUUGUUAAUGCUAAAAAAUGAAUGCAUACAUAGGCAAGAGUUUAACAGUUCUGGGCCUAGGCCCAACGUGAAUGAUGUGAAACUGGGCCUGGGCCAUCCUACUAUAAUUUUGGGGCAUAACUACAUUACACUACACAUACUUGGUAUUAGCAAAUGGGGGCAAAAAUGGAAAUGUUGUCUAACUACACAAAUUCUUGCAAAUUGAUUAUGCCAUCUAUCUACUGAAACGACUUGAGCUAUCUAUUCAUUAAUUACCUAAAUUUGUUCAUGCUUCUAAAUAAGAUGGACUAAAAUGACAGAGAUCGAAUCACUAUUUCAUUAACUCGUUUAAACUAGCAUACGAGAGAAAAGGUCUACCAUCUAGACUAUUACAGAUUAGUAUUAAGUUAAACAUAACAACUAUUAACAUGAAUCUAGUGAAGACUAAUAACUACAUAUACACAACUUAAUACACGAAAUACAACUAAACAAAUUCUGAGCUUUAAGGCUCCCUUUUUAUUCAUGCUUCGAACUUCAGCUACAUUGUGUACCAGUGUAAUAGUUGUGUACCUGGCAUUUGGGGAAAGCAAAGAAAGAGAUGAAGAUCUGUAGUGCAGUAGCACAAACACAACAGGUUCAGCAACAAACAGUUUCAGCAAAACCAGUAGAACCAAUAGCAAGAAUCCCAGGAAAGAUUGCAAAUUAAACAGGAGGAAACCCAAGGGAUCAAUGCAACACUACUUGGAUACCAAACAGCAACUCAACAACACCCAAAUGAGUAACAAAAGCUAAAUACUAACCGAAAACCAAGAACUUACACACCACAAAUCCAAUAACACUCGCGAAUGCACUCAAAGUUAAGUUUAGAGUGAGACAGAUGCAAGAAAAUAGUGUUUCUGACUGCCAACACUCAAAGAAAACCAACUGAAACUUUUAAGUAAAAACCCAGCUUAAAGUCACUCUAUCUGAAGCUUUUUACCAAUAACAGUCAACCUAAAACUCUGUAUUUUACUUCUGGAAUUAACUCUCAAAAUUCCAGCCUCAAUGUAUAUCUCUCAAUUUUCUCUCUUUUAAGGAUUUCCAAAAGUCAGUCUAAUUUUUUCUAACACUACCCACCUAUCCAAUUGAUCCCAAAUUACUUUUAUUUAUACCAUAGUCAGUCCCCCUUUUCAACUCAUUUUUUUUACUUUUACCUUGUUAUUAUUACUCUUUUACUCCUUUUACUUUUCAGCUACUAUAUUCUUCUAACUAUGUCUAUCUUUUACCCUUUUAUCAUUACUGAUACUAUUUCUAAUUCUAAUUAAGUAAACACUCUCAUUAAUUGUGGCCCCCUCUACCAAUUAGUUCAAAUUAAAGCUAUUAGGGCCCUACUGGACAGGCUGCUCAAUCAAACCAAUUUUCCAAAUUUCCUGUUCCUAAAUUACCCAUGAAACUACUGCAACAACUGUCUUGCCCCCUAAAUAUUAAUCAGACUUAAAACUAAAUUUAAUCUACUUAAACUUAAUAAACUGAACAGAAUUAAACUUCUUAUUAUGCAGCUAUAACCAAUUCAUCACCUAAAUCCAACAAUGAUUCAGACAAUCAGAAAAUAUGCUGAAAUUAUAUUGGAACAAAACAAAAUCAGUGCAUCUGUAAUUUUCAAGCACAUUUCAAUGACGACACUUAUUUAAUCGACCUACAUAGGCCACAAUGUACAACAAUUAUCAACAAACAAUCAACAGAAAAAUCUACAUGUGAUUCAAGCAGUAUUUGACAGAAAUAAUGGAUUAUAAUACAAUCAACUAAUCGACAACACCAAUCGAAUCGAUUACAAACAUAUAAUCGAUAACAAAUAAUCGACACACAAACAGUGGACUCAUGCCAUUCAGACAAAACAGGGAAAAUACGAAACAAAUUAUUCGAUGAUACUAAUCGAAUCGAACAUGUAUUCUGUAACAAACACAUCAAACAGAAUAAAAAUGGACCAAAUAAAAGGUCUUCGAUUUGGAGUAGAAGAGAACUCGGCAAAAAAUUGGAAAGGAUAAAAAUAACAAAACUAAACUAAUGAACAAAUAUUAGUCAAUGAAAAAUAGAAGAAAAAGAAGAAGGAAUACCUUUAGAAGAAAAAAUCAGAAAUCAAACAUCUUGGGCCAAUUUCGGACCUUGAGCUUUGAGGUCAAACGGACCUUAAUCGAGUGUUCUAAUUGAGAACACUUCAACUAAGGUCCCUUGAACACUCAAAUCUCUCAAUUUGGACAUUUAAACCAGGCUUGAAUUUUUAGGGUUCUUGGGGCUCGGAUUGGGGUUCGAGUAGUUUGGGUUAGAUUCGAACCAAACCAGGUAUGGUUUGGUGACGAGAGAGGCUAGGGACGUGUUUGGGGUGAGUUUGGGGCCGGUUGGGAUGGUUUUGUAUUUUACUCGAAUCAUCGAUUGAAGAUUCGAGGAGUUACAACAUGAUUCGAACUAAACGGGUCAUGAAUUCGUGGAGAGGGGAGUUAGGAGGUUAAGUGGUGUUGAUUUGGUGGCGAAAGGAGUGGUUACCGCCGGUUUAAGGGCGGUGGGGUGUGCCGACGGCGCUAGGGUUCUUGGGGUGUUUGGUUUGGAUGAGAGAGACGAAAAGGAAGGGGUCGUUUGGGAAUGGGGUGUGUGAACGGGGUCUGGGG
rnacentral:lncRNA from 1 species